UGAUGUCUUUCUUUAAGAUCUUUAUCGCAUAAAGCUCGUCUGUUCCCUUUCUUUCGGCUAGCAAAACCUUGCUGCUUACGGUAUGCACAGUCACAGGAAAUAAUAUCGAUAUUUCGAUAGAAUGAUAAGAUCUCGAUUACAUGAGUAAUACGAUCUCGUGAGCAUCCGGUAAACAUCGAAUACAAUUACAAGUAACACGAUGCAGCUACGUAUUUUGGUAUGAGUGAAAGGUGGUGGCGCAGU